GGGGGUGUAGCUCAGUGGUAGAGCGCGUGCUUCGCCUGGGCGAGGCCCCGGGUUCGACCCCCGGCUCCUCCA